CUUCCACAAUGGGCGAAAGCCUGAUGGAGCAACGCCGCGUGUGUGAUGAAGGCUUUCGGGUCGUAAAGCACUGUUGUAUGGGAAGAACAGCUAGAAUUGGAAAUGAUUUUAGUUUGACGGUACCAUACCAGAAAGGGACGGCUAAAUACGUGCCAGCAGCCGCGGUAAUACGUAUGUCCCGAGCGUUAUCCGGAUUUAUUGGGCGUAAAGCGAGCGCAGACGGUUUAUUAAGUCUGAUGUGAAAGCCCGGAGCUCAACUCCGGAAUGGCAUUGGAAACUGGUUAACUUGAGUGCAGUAGAGGUAAGUGGAACUCCAUGUGUAGCGGUGGAAUGCGUAGAUAUAUGGAAGAACACCAGUGGCGAAGGCGGCUUACUGGACUGCAACUGACGUUGAGGCUCGAAAGUGUGGGUAGCAAACAGGAUUAGAUACCCUGGUAGUCCACACCGUAAACGAUGAACACUAGGUGUUAGGAGGUUUCCGCCUCUUAGUGCCGAAGCUAACGCAUUAAGUGUUCCGCCUGGGGAGUACGACCGCAAGGUUGAAACUCAAAGGAAUUGACGGGGACCCGCACAAGCGGUGGAGCAUGUGGUUUAAUUCGAAGCAACGCGAAGAACCUUACCAGGUCUUGACAUCCUUUGAAGCUUUUAGAGAUAGAAGUGUUCUCUUCGGAGACAAAGUGACAGGUGGUGCAUGGUCGUCGUCAGCUCGUGUCGUGAGAUGUUGGGUUAAGUCCCGCAACGAGCGCAACCCUUAUUGUUAGUUGCCAGCAUUCAGAUGGGCACUCUAGCGAGACUGCCGGUGACAAACCGGAGGAAGGCGGGGACGACGUCAGAUCAUCAUGCCCCUUAUGACCUGGGCUACACACGUGCUACAAUGGCGUAUACAACGAGUUGCCAACCCGCGAGGGUGAGCUAAUCUCUUAAAGUACGUCUCAGUUCGGAUUGUAGUCUGCAACUCGACUACAUGAAGUCGGAAUCGCUAGUAAUCGCGGAUCAGCAC
rnacentral:rRNA from 1 species